UAAUCCUAAUACAACGGCAUAAACUUUGUACAACAAAAGGUGGAGCUAAUGCAAUGGCUUUAAGAAGUCGUUGCGUUAGGUGUACUAAUACAACGAACUGAAAGGCUAUUGCCACGGCAGUGAUAUUAAAUAUUCCGUAUGAAAAUGCGCUUAAAGUUCAAUCUCCUCAGACCUCACCACCUCAGUUCUCUCUACUCUCUCUUUCUCUCCUUCUCCCUCUUCUCUUCCUCAAAGACAAAGGCAACCAUCGUCGCAGCCGCAACCACAACCACAACCACUAUCGCUCACAAAUUAAAUUCUCUCUCUUUCUUCUCCCUCCUCAUUCACUGAUGGUCACGGUGGUGAUGGUGGUCGCGAGUGAUAACGACGGUGCGGUUCGAUUUUUAGGGUUUUGAUUGGUGUUCAUGGGUUUCGAUUUGUAACUGUUGGCGGGGGUGGCGGAGAGCAGCGAUGGUGAGUUUCGGUUUGUAAUUGAUGGCGGUGGUAGAGAGUUGCUGAACUAACGUCGCUCAAACACUAGCUUCGUGCCCUGAUCUUUGAGAUGAUGUAGGUGUAAACAAUUGCUUGAGCACAUCAACGACUGCUAUGACAGGAGUUGGACUCGAUUAAGGAAACUUUGAACAUUGAGUUGCAAAGAGCUCCAGCAGCAUUCAGCAUCAUCAAGUACUAGUAAAAUAGGUGGAUACUGAAGUUGAAGAAGGUGCUUCCCGAAUUGCUUUACUUGAGAAAUUGGAGAAGUGGGAGAAAGAAAUGAUAAUGCGGUCCAAACAACUGCUGAAAAUAUGGUUUGGGGGAUAAAAUGAUUUAGUUUUAACAUUUUAAUUGUUUAUUUCUUAGUUUAACUAGUGAUAAUUUAAUUAUGCAAUUUUUCUUAUAGAUAACAAUGUACAAACUUUUAAUUUAUAUUAAUAAAUUCUGAUUUUUUUUAAAAAAAUUUUUCGAUUAUAAUUGU